rnacentral:tRNA from 1 species
GCUGGGAUGACCUGCUUUGGGAAGCAGCUGGGACUUCAAAUCCCUGGAUCACUAGCGUGAUAGGUGUUCGAUUCAUCCUUCCUAGC